CCGCCGCGGCCUCGCCGGGCCUGGCUGGCCUGUUUGUUCUAUACUUCUAAUGUUUAAUAAUUACCCAGAGCUUUGGAUAUAUGCAAUUCUGCAAAAUAAAUCAAAAGGAGUCAGAAGGCAAUUUUAUUUCCUAAUAGACCCUUAGUUAGAAUUUAACUUAAAAGCCAUUUUUAACAAAUGUAAACAAUAUCUCCCCUCCUCUCCAUCAAAGUCUGACGGAGACAAAUGAAAAGAUUUUUUAGAAGAAUAGGACUAUAUCAAGACCAAAAAAAAAAAAAAAAGCUAAGAAAGGGUACCAUCAACAAUCUUUACAGAACUUCUGGAAAGUAAAAAGCAAAUGGUACUGGCCUGGGGAAUAACCAAAGAAAAUGAAACCUCAGCCCCGGAUGGCAAAGGACACAACUGGAGAAACUAGUUAUUUCACCAAGGCUUUGACUGGAAUGGCAUGCUUCUUUAAAGAAUCAAAGUUGACUUGUAGAGCCAAUAAAAGCCCCUUGGGAAAUGUGGCCUCAUACCUUGUCUAUGCCAUCUCUGUACAAGAUUCCCGACUUGUGAUUUCAUAGUGUUUACUGAUGGACCAUGUACUUGGGAUAAAUUGGCCAACUGAAGGUUUCUUAUGCUGUGGUGUCUGAUCAUGAGCUCUUGGAAGCUUAUGUUUUGUCUGGAAUUAAGUUGGCACAAGUAGACAUCCUGAGACAUAAAGUGAAAAGGACCUAGAAGGAACUACUGGAAGAAAUAUCACCCCUAUUAAACUGGGCAAUUUUGUUUAAAUAUGAGUGUUCUGGAGGAAACAUGCAUUGUCACCAGGCUGGAUGGGACCCUUUCAAGUGCCACGAUCACUCAUAUGGGUAUCAGAGUGAAAGAAAAACCAGAUGGUUUCAUGCUUUCCAUGUGAAGCCAGCUCCUCAGGAGGACUAGACUGCAGUUUCCACAAAGGAUUUGAAGUUUAAUUUCCUAGAGUGACUAAUAUUGGUAAUGAACUCAACUGAAAGGAGGUAUUCUAAGGAAUGUAUUAUUCUGACUACCUUGCUGUCCUAGUUGCAAUAGUGUUUUGUUCAAUUACUAUAAGAAUCACAUUUUAUUAGAAAAUAAACAUGUUAUUUGUUACACCACUUUUUCUUUCUGUACUCCCAAUAAUGGUUCCUACAGUCACAUUUCCUCUCUCCUCUGAAUUGUAUUCCCAGUACAGAAAUGCUGGGCCUGCAUUUAUGAAUCCAACAGUCUGAUUAUUGGCCAAAUAAACACAAGACCAUGUUCAUUACUAUGUUUUAAUAUCAAAGUAAAAGUAACUACUAUGCAUCCAGAAACCAAAGCCCUAAAUUUCACACAAAAAAAUUUGUUAACUGGUUUGAUUGGAAGUAUAGUAUAGAAAAGAAAUGCAUCUAAUUAAGUGUCUGGCAUUUAUGGAUAGAGACCUCAGAAGACAGCUCUAAUGUCAAUCGAUUAACUUGAGAAUAGAAGUUUUCUCCAGUCCUACUAUGGAUAGAUAAACAAAGGUGGAUAUGCCUGUUAUCUAUGGUUAUUUAGUUAACUGUUAUAAUAAUAUAACUACUGGUUUGGACCGAGGUAAGAAAUGGCCCAAAAGUUGGCUUUGUCCUCCAGACUUAAAACUAUUAGAGCCAUGUACACUAAACACUGGAAAUUCAAUCUGUGCCCUUCAACGGGUACUUCAUAAUAAGACUUUGAUACUAUAUAAUGGCCACGAGUGUCUUUGCAUUUUGCAUCUGGGAGAAAUUAUUUGGGAAGAUGGGAUAAUUACCAAAAGGCCUAGUUUAUCCUAUAAAUGCAAUAUUACUCCUGUGACUGCUGAGAACUCAGAGGAAAUUCAUUGGGCCUUACAAGAAAAACUCAGUUAAAAAACAUAUAUUAUCAGGCUCCAGAGUUAAGCUAUUAACUCGGCUAGGAUAGGGAUUUCUUUCUUUUUUGUUUGUUUGUUUGUUUUCUGAAGAUGGAUUCUCACUCAAUAGCCCAG
rnacentral:lncRNA from 1 species